AACGCACCUUGCGCUCCUUGGUAUUCCGAGGAGCAUGCCUGUUUGAGUGUCAUUAAUAUAUAUAUCAAACCCUCUCUUGUCGAGUGGUUUGGAUGUGGGGGUUUGCUGGCCUCUUGAAGGGUUCAGCUCCUCUGAAAUGCAUUAGCAGAACAACAACCUGUUCAUUGGUGUGAUAACUAUCUACGCUAUUGAAUGUGAGGGUAAAAGUUCAGCUUUCUAACUGUCCAUGGACAAUUUAUCAUUAAUGUGACCUCAAAUCAGGUAGGACUACCCGCUGAACUUAA
rnacentral:misc_RNA from 2 species